AAUCAACGCUGGCGGCGUGCCUCAGACAUGCAAGUCGAACGCGAAAGUUCCCUUCGGGGGGGCGAGUAGAGUGGCGCACGGGUGAGUAACACGUAGGUAAUCUACCUUUGGGUGGGGAAUAACAGCCGGAAACGGCUGCUAAUACCGCAUAAUGCAGCGGCUCGACAUCGAGACAGUUGUUAAAGCGGGGGAUCGCAAGACCUCGCGCCUAAAGAGGAGCCUGCGGCGGAUUAGCUUGUUGGUGAGGUAAUGGCUCACCAAGGCAUCGAUCCGUAGCCGGCCUGAGAGGGCGGGUCGGCCACACUGACACUGACAUACGGGUCAGACUCCUACGGGAGGCAGCA
rnacentral:rRNA from 1 species